rnacentral:rRNA from 1 species
GACAGAGGGUGCAAACGUUGUUCGGAUUUACUGGGCGUAAAGCGUGCGCAGGCGGUUUUGUAAGUCAGAUGUGAAAUCCCCGGGCUUAACCUGGGAACUGCGUUUGAAACUACAAGGCUAGAGUGUGACAGAGGGGGGUGGAAUUCCACGUGUAGCAGUGAAAUGCGUAGAGAUGUGGAGGAACACCGAUGGCGAAGGCAGCCCCCUGGGUUAACACUGACGCUCAGGCACGAAAGCGUGGGGAGCAAACAGG